rnacentral:rRNA from 1 species
ACGUACACUCCUGCGGGAGGCAGCAGUGGGGAAUAUUGCACAAUGGGCGCAAGCCUGAUGCAGCCAUGCCGCGUGUAUGAAGAAGGCCUUCGGGUUGUAAAGUACUUUCAGCGGGGAGGAAGGCGAUAAGGUUAAUAACCUUGUCGAUUGACGUUACCCGCAGAAGAAGCACCGGCUAACUCCGUGCCAGCAGCCGCGGUAAUACGGAGGGUGCAAGCGUUAAUCGGAAUUACUGGGCGUAAAGCGCACGCAGGCGGUCGGUCAAGUCGGAUGUGAAAUCCCCGGGCUCAACCUGGGAACUGCAUUCGAAACUGGCAGGCUAGAGUCUUGUAGAGGGGGGUAGAAUUCCAGGUGUAGCGGUGAAAUGCGUAGAGAUCUGGAGGAAUACCGGUGGCGAAGGCGGCCCCCUGGACAAAGACUGACGCUCAGGUGCGAAAGCGUGGGGAGCAAACAGGAUUAGAAACCCUUGUAGUCCCAUGA